AUAUUUAAAGAAGAACUCUUCAGUCCUUGAGUGCAGCUGUCCCAGGUUUAAAGCCAGUGUAAAGGAAACAUCCCAGUACAUCUGCAUGAGUUACACUCCUGUGACAAACUUGUGGCAGAAGAAAAGGUGUCAACAUGUGCAUUUCUCCAAAGGAAUGGCAAAGCUAUGAACUUAAACUACUUGUGACCAAGGAAUAUCAAGAAUUGUACUUCUCUCAGCACAAAAGCAAGUGCACACCAAGUGCUCUUGCCAGCAGAUGAUCAAUUUUGACUUCAAGAACAGGAGCUCCAGGAGAACCUUGGGCCUGACUUGUGGCAUCUCUGCAAUUUGUAUCUCAUGGUGCUGCAUCUGUGUCUUCAACAAGGCUU
rnacentral:lncRNA from 1 species